rnacentral:rRNA from 1 species
UACGUAGGGACCAAGCGUUGUUCGGAUUUACUGGGCGUAAAGGGCGCGUAGGCGGCUUGACAAGUCACUUGUGAAAUCUCCGGGCUUAACUCGGAACGGCCAAGUGAAACUGUCAUGCUAGAGUGCAGAAGGGGCAAUCGGAAUUCUUGGUGUAGCGGUGAAAUGCGUAGAUAUCAAGAGGAACACCUGAGGUGAAGACGGGUUGCUGGGCUGACACUGACGCUGAUGCGCGAAAGCCAGGGGGGCAAACGGG